rnacentral:tRNA from 1 species
AAGGGAUUAGCUCAAUGGUAGAGCGCUCGUUUUACACGCGAGACACGUGGGUUCGAUUCCCUCAUUCCUUA